GACGAACGCUGGCGGCGUGCCUAAUACAUGCAAGUCGAGCGCAGGAAACUGACGGAACUCUUCGGAGGGAAGGCAGUGGAAUGAGCGGCGGACGGGUGAGUAACACGUAAGGAACCUGCCUCAAGGGUUGGGAUAACUCCGAGAAAUCGGAGCUAAUACCGGAUAGUUCAACGGACCGCAUGGUCCGCUGAUGAAAGGCGCUUCGGCGUCACCUUGAGAUGGCCUUGCGGUGCAUUAGCUAGUUGGUGGGGUAACGGCCCACCAAGGCGACGAUGCAUAGCCGACCUGAGAGGGUGAUCGGCCACACUGGGACUGAGACACGGCCCAGACUCCUACGGGAGGCAGCAGUAGGGAAUAUUCCACAAUGGACGAAAGUCUGAUGGAGCAACGCCGCGUGAGUGAUGAAGGUUUUCGGAUCGUAAAACUCUGUUGUAAGGGAAGAACACGUACGAGAGGAAAUGCUCGUACCUUGACGGUACCUUACGAGAAAGCCACGGCUAACUACGUGCCAGCAGCCGCGGUAA
rnacentral:rRNA from 1 species